rnacentral:tRNA from 1 species
UCCCUGGUGGCUCAGAUGGUAAAGCAUCUGCCUACAGUGCAGGAGACCUGGGUUUGAUCCCUGGGUCGGGAA